rnacentral:tRNA from 1 species
AUUUAGAAAGAAAGAAAUUUAAUAUAUAUAUAUAUAUAUAUUAAAUAAAUAUCUAAAUUUAAGUAUAUCAUUUACAAUGAUAAGAUGUUUUUUAACUUUAUUUAAA